GGGGAUCUGGAGGGGGUAGGAACUCCACAGGAAGACCAACAGAGUCAAUUACCUAUACCCUUGGAGGCUCCCAGAGACUGGACCACCAGCCAAAAAGCAUACACGGGCUGGACCUAGGUCCCCUGGCACAGAUGUGCAGCAGAUGUAUGGCUUGGUCUUCAUGCAGGUCCCCUAACAGUAAGAGCCGGAGCUGUCCCUGACCCUGUUCCCUGCCUGCCUCGUCUGGCCUCAAUAGGAAGGGAUGUGCCAGGGCUUCCAGCAGAAAACAUGUCCCAGAUUAUAAGACCCACCACUAAAGAUCUGGAUGAAAGGUGUGUCAAAGACCCAGACUACCAGACUAGAAGUGGAUCUUCUCACUUCAAAUGAUUUAAUUAAGCAAA
rnacentral:lncRNA from 1 species